ensembl:misc_RNA Metazoa_SRP Metazoan signal recognition particle RNA
GCUGGGUGUGUUGGCAGGCACCUGUAAUCCCAGCUACUUGGGAGGCUGAGGCAGGAGAAUUGCUUGAACCUGGGAGACAGAGGUUGCAGUGAGCUGAGAUUGCACCACUGCACUCCAGCCUGGGUGACAGAGCGAGACUCUGUCUCAA